UCGAACGGUGAAGCAGGAGCUUGCUCUUGUGGAUCAGUGGCGAACGGGUGAGUAACACGUGAGCAACCUGCCCCUGACUCUGGGAUAAGCGCUGGAAACGGCGUCUAAUACUGGAUACGAGUAGCGGCCGCAUGGUCAGUUACUGGAAAGAUUUAUUGGUUGGGGAUGGGCUCGCGGCCUAUCAGCUUGUUGGUGAGGUAAUGGCUCACCAAGGCGUCGACGGGUAGCCGGCCUGAGAGGGUGACCGGCCACACUGGGACUGAGACACGGCCCAGACUCCUACGGGAGGCAGCAGUGGGGAAUAUUGCACAAUGGGCGCAAGCCUGAUGCAGCAACGCCGCGUGAGGGAUGACGGCCUUCGGGUUGUAAACCUCUUUUAGCAGGGAAGAAGCGAGAGUGACGGUACCUGCAGAAAAAGCACCGGCUAACUACGUGCCAGCAGCCGCGGUAAUACGUAGGGUGCAAGCGUUAUCCGGAAUUAUUGGGCGUAAAGAGCUCGUAGGCGGUUUGUCGCGUCUGCUGUGAAAUCUGGGGGCUCAACCCCCAGCCUGCAGUGGGUACGGGCAGACUAGAGUGCGGUAGGGGAGAUUGGAAUUCCUGGUGUAGCGGUGGAAUGCGCAGAUAUCAGGAGGAACACCGAUGGCGAAGGCAGAUCUCUGGGCCGUAACUGACGCUGAGGAGCGAAAGGGUGGGGAGCAAACAGGCUUAGAUACCCUGGUAGUCCACCCCGUAAACGUUGGGAACUAGUUGUGGGGUCCAUUCCACGGAUUCCGUGACGCAGCUAACGCAUUAAGUUCCCCGCCUGGGGAGUACGGCCGCAAGGCUAAAACUCAAAGGAAUUGACGGGGACCCGCACAAGCGGCGGAGCAUGCGGAUUAAU
rnacentral:rRNA from 1 species